CUUGGUGAUUAUAGCGAGAGGUCUGCACUCGAUCCCAUCCCGAACUCGACCGUGAAAACUCUCUGCGCCGAUGGUACUGUGUCUUAAGGCAUGGGAGAGUAGGUCGUUGCCAGGU
rnacentral:rRNA from 1 species